rfam:Salmo salar isolate Sally breed double haploid chromosome ssa11, whole genome shotgun sequence.
UGUAUUCACUACUGUAAGUUGCUCUGGAUAAGAGCGUCUGCUAAAUGACCAAAA